rnacentral:rRNA from 1 species
AGCAGCCGCGGUAAUUCCAGCUCCAAUAGCGUAUAUUAAAGUUGUUGCAGUUAAAAAGCUCGUAGUUGAAUUUCGGGGUUAGUAGGUUGGUCAUGCCUCUGGUAUGUACUGGUCUCACUGAUUCCUCCUUCCUUAUGAACCGUAAUGCCAUUAAUUUGGUGUUGCGAGGAAUUUGGACUGUUACUUUGAAAAAAUUAGAGUGUUUAAAGCAAGCUAACGCUUGAAUACAUUAGCAUGGAAUAAUGAAAUAGGACGUUCGAUCUUAUUUUGUUGGUUUCUAGGAUUGACGUAAUGAUUAAUAGGGAUAGUUGGGGGCAUUAGUAUUCAAUUGUCAGAGGUGAAAUUCUUGGAUUUAUUGAAGACUAACUACUGCGAAAGCAUUUGCCAAGGAUGUUUUCAUUAAUCAAGAACGAAAGUUAGGGGAUCGAAGACGAUCAGAUACCGUCGUAGUCUUAACCAUAAACUAUGCCGACUAGGGAUCGGAUGAUGUUAAUUUUUUAAUGACUCAUUCGGCGCCUUA